rnacentral:rRNA from 1 species
AGUGAACGCUGGCGGUAGGCCUAACACAUGCAAGUCGAACGGCAGCACAGUAAGAGCUUGCUCUUACGGGUGGCGAGUGGCGGACGGGUGAGGAAUACAUCGGAAUCUACUUUUUCGUGGGGGAUAACGUAGGGAAACUUACGCUAAUACCGCAUACGACCUACGGGUGAAAGCAGGGGAUCUUCGGACCUUGCGCGAUUGAAUGAGCCGAUGUCGGAUUAGCUAGUUGGCGGGGUAAAGGCCCACCAAGGCGACGAUCCGUAGCUGGUCUGAGAGGAUGAUCAGCCACACUGGAACUGAGACACGGUCCAGACUCCUACGGGAGGCAGCAGUGGGGAAUAUUGGACAAUGGGCGCAAGCCUGAUCCAGCCAUACCGCGUGGGCGAAGAAGGCCUUCGGGUUGUAAAGCCCUUUUGUUGGGAAAGAAAAGCAGCAGGUUAAUACCCCGCUGUUCGGACGGUACCCAAAGAAUAAGCACCGGCGAACUUCGU